GAUCCAUACCCGAUCCCAUCCCGAACUCGGCCGUUAAAGCCUCCAGCGCCUAUGAUACUGCUCCUUAAGGAGCGGAAAAGUCGGUCGCCGCCAGGU
rnacentral:rRNA from 1 species